UUCACAUUGUACAUUCAAAAAUCACACUUCGGGGUCGCGUUUCUUUUUUUAUAAAAAUUUAUUUCAUGCCUAUCAGCACGCACAGUGAGUGAAAUCAGGUGGGGAGACUGAACGUAUAUGCGCGCGCGCACACAGCAGACAAAAGAAAGGCAGAAAAAGAAAGACGUUAUAAAAAUGCAUACAGUACAAAAACCAUUUGACUGUUCUGAGUGUGAUAAAAGAUUUGGAUAAAAGAGCAACCUGACUAGACACAUGAUAAUUCAUACAGGAAGAAAACCAUUUAGCUGUUCUGAUCGACGACAUAUACUGGAACAGAAGGACACUCGGCUGGAUAAUCCACCAGAUCAGCAUAGUUCUGAUCCUGGACUCCAGCAACAACAGCAUCAAUGGGCCAGAAGAAACAAACGAAACUAUGCCACAGUAAAUUGGACCAUUGAAGAGAAGAAAAAGAUCUUUCACUGCUUUACUUACUCAAGGCAUGAGAAGUGGGGCAGAAAGAAAAAGGCAGUAUUUGAGGAGCGCAUAAAAGAAGCGGAUCUACCACCACAAAAGAAAGAAGCCACCACUACUGCAAUCGAUCGCCUCACAAAUUGCAAAAUAUCUGACAGCAGAGGAAAUAAAAAAAAUAAAGGAAGAAGCCCAAAGGGAAGUGAUAAAAGAUUAUCAGUUGAUGGAUAAAGAGAAACAACU